rnacentral:tRNA from 2 species
CGCGGGGUGGAGCAGUGGUAGCUCGUUGGGCUCAUAACCCAAAGGUCGUGGGUUCAAAUCCCACCCCCGCCA